GGGGCUGAUCGGUUUCGACGUGGAGACCGGCUGACGUUACGUGCGACCGGAGUUGCUCAGACUCCUUAAACGGGGCACCCAAAGAAGCGCCGAUGGCGACUUCGCUCUCGCAGCCUGAUCUAGCGAUCAGCUAAGAGAGUCAUCGCGACCCGUGAGGGCACGCGGGGCCUGUUCACUGCAGCCCGGCAACAGAAGCAGUGGAGGACCGCAGGGAGAGACCGCUGACGUCGGGAAAGACCGAUGGCACCGGGGGAAGACCCGGCGGCGGGCGCAAGCCCAGCUGACCCGGCAGUGCGGUGACCGCGAGCCGCAACCUCGGGAAUGGUCGUAGCACGAGCGCUCACCGCUUUGCGGACGAGGGUUCGAUUCCCUCCAGCUCCACCC
rnacentral:tmRNA from 1 species